UACGUAGGGCGCAAGCGUUGUCCGGAAUUAUUGGGCGUAAAGAGCUCGUAGGCGGCUUGUCACGUCGGGUGUGAAAGCCCGGGGCUUAACCCCGGGAUCUGCAUUCGAUACGGGCUAGCUAGAGUGUGGUAGGGGAGAUCGGAAUUCCUGGUGUAGCGGUGAAAUGCGCAGAUAUCAGGAGGAACACCGGUGGCGAAGGCGGAUCUCUGGGCCAUUACUGACGCUGAGGAGCGAAAGCAUGGGGAGCAAACAGG
rnacentral:rRNA from 1 species